GACGAACGCUGGCGGCGUGCUUAACACAUGCAAGUCGAACGGAAAGGCCCUGCCUUUGUGGGGUGCUCGAGUGGCGAACGGGUGAGUAACACGUGAGUAACCUGCCCUUGACUGUGGGAUAACUUCAGGAAACUGGGGCUAAUACCGGAUAGGAGCUCCUGCUGCAUGGUGGGGGUUGGAAAGUUUCGGCGGUUGGGGAUGGACUCGCGGCUUAUCAGCUUGUUGGGGGGGUAGUGGCUUACCAAGGCUUUGACGGGUAGCCGGCCUGGGAGGGUGACCGGCCACAUUGGGACUGAGAUACGGCCCAGACUCCUACGGGCGGCAGCAGUGGGGAGUAUUGCACAGUGGGCGGAAGCCUGAUGCAGCAACGCCGCGUGCGGGAUGACGGCCUUCGGGUUGUAAACCGCUUUCGCCUGUGACGAAGCGUGAGUGACGGUAAUGGGUAAAGAAGCACCGGCUAACUACGUG
rnacentral:rRNA from 1 species